rnacentral:misc_RNA from 1 species
AACUGAUACUACCUGCGGGAACCUGCGGAGGGAUCAUUACAGAGUUGCAAAACUCCCUAAACCAUUGUGAACGUUACCUAAACCGUUGCUUCGGCGGGCGGCCCGGGUCCUUCCCGGCGCCCCUCGGCCCUCGCGGGCGCCCGCCGGAGGAAAACCAAACUAUUGCAUUGUAUGGCCUCUCUGAGUCUUCUGUACUGAAUAAGUCAAAACUUUUAACAACGGAUCUCUAGAUCGGAAGAG